rnacentral:rRNA from 1 species
AUGAACGCUGGCGGCGUGCCUAACACAUGCAAGUCGAGCGAUCUCUUCGGAGAGAGCGGCGGACGGGUGAGUAACGCGUGGGUAACCUACCCUGUACACACGGAUAACAUACCGAAAGGUAUGCUAAUACGGGAUAAUAUAUAAAAGUUGCAUAACUUUUAUAUCAAAGAUUUUUCGGUACAGGAUGGACCCGCGUCUGAUUAGCUUGUUGGCGGGGUAACGGCCCACCAAGGCGACGAUCAGUAGCCGACCUGAGAGGGUGAUCGGCCACAUUGGAACUGAGACACGGUCCAAACUCCUACGGGAGGCAGCAGUGGGGAAUAUUGCACAAUGGGCGCAAGCCUGAUGCAGCAACGCCGCGUGAGCGAUGAAGGCCUUCGGGUCGUAAAGCUCUGUCCUCAAGGAAGAUAAUGACGGUAC